ensembl:rRNA 5S_rRNA 5S ribosomal RNA
GAAUGGCCAUACCACCCUGAACACGUGCCAUCUCAUCUGAUCUCAGAAGCUAUGCAGGGUCAGGCCUGGUUAAUACUUGGAUGGGAGAAUGCCUUGCCCUGCAACAUUGU